rnacentral:rRNA from 1 species
UACGUAGGGUGCAAGCGUUGUCCGGAAUUAUUGGGCGUAAAGAGCUCGUAGGCGGUUUGUCGCGUCUGCUGUGAAAUCCCGAGGCUCAACCUCGGGCCUGCAGUGGGUACGGGCAGACUAGAGUGCGGUAGGGGAGAGUGGAAUUCCUGGUGUAGCGGUGAAAUGCGCAGAUAUCAGGAAGAACACCCGUGGCGAAGGCGGCUCUCUGGAACGCAACUGACGCU